rnacentral:rRNA from 1 species
UACAGAGGUCCCAAGCGUUGUUCGGAUUCAUUGGGCGUAAAGGGUGCGUAGGCGGCGCGGUAAGUCGGGUGUGAAAUCUCGGGGCUUAACUCCGAAACUGCAUUCGAUACUGCCGUGCUUGAGGACUGGAGAGGUGAGUGGAAUUCCAGGUGUAGCGGUGAAAUGCGUAGAUAUCUGGAGGAACACCGGUGGCGAAGGCGGCAUCCUGGACCAACACUGACACUGAGGAGCGAAAGCCAGGGGAGCAAACGGG